GGAACGUACCCUUAGGUUCGGAAUAACUCAGGGAAACUUGAGCUAAUACCGAAUGUGCCCUUCGGGGGAAAGAUUUAUCGCCUUUGGAGCGGCCCGCGUCUGAUUAGCUAGUUGGUGAGGUAAAGGCUCACCAAGGCUACGAUCAGUAGCUGGUCUGAGAGGAUGACCAGCCACACUGGGACUGAGACACGGCCCAGACUCCUACGGGAGGCAGCAGUGGGGAAUCUUGCGCAAUGGGCGAAAGCCUGACGCAGCCAUGCCGCGUGGAUGAUGAAGGUCUUAGGAUUGUAAAAUCCUUUCACCGGUGAAGAUAAUGACUGUAGCCGGAGAAGAAGCCCCGGCUAACUUCGUGCCAGCAGCCGCGGUAAUACGAAGGGGGCUAGCGUUGCUCGGAUUUACUGGGCGUAAAGGGCGCGUAGGCGGACAUUUAAGUCAGGGGUGAAAUCCCGGGGCUCAACCUCGGAACUGCCUUUGAUACUGGAUGUCUUGAGUGUGAGAGAGGUGUGUGGAACUCCGAGUGUAGAGGUGAAA
rnacentral:rRNA from 1 species